UAAGCUUUAGAGCACUGAGUAAUAUAUAAAAACAGCAAUCAUGUAGUUUUUAAAACUUAGUCUGGGGUUAAAGAAGUAUGUAAACAACUAUGUUUUCUUAAAGAUUUAUAGGAGCAUUGUGACUGGACCAAGGACAAAGAAGUUCCCAACCUCCUCAGACCCUCGCUGCUGCCCAGAUGUCUGCCAUGGGGUGGCCAUCAUCGAAUCCACUGAGGGCGCAAAUAGAACAAAAAGGUGAAGAAAAGGUGAAUUCUCUCCUUUCUUGAGCUGGGACAUCCAACUUCUCAGACAUCAGAGCUCCUGGAGGCCUUCAGACUCCGAGACAUUACACCAUUGGCUCACCUGGUCCUCAGGUCUUUGGACUUGGAAUGAAUUACACCAUUGGCUUUCCAGGUCUUCCAGCUUGCAGAUGGCAGAUUGUGGGACUUUUCAGCCUCCAUAACUUUGUCAUCCAAUUCCCAUAAUAAAUCGCCU
rnacentral:lncRNA from 10 species